UACGUAGGGUGCGAGCGUUGUCCGGAAUUAUUGGGCGUAAAGAGCUCGUAGGCGGUCUGUCGCGUCUGCUGUGAAAUCCCGGGGCUCAACCCCGGGCUUGCAGCCGAUACGGGCAGGCUAGAGUUCGGUAGGGGAGACUGGAAUUCCUGGUGUAGCGGUGAAAUGCGCAGAUAUCAGGAGGAACACCGGUGGCGAAGGCGGGUCUCUGGGCCGAUACUGACGCUGAGGAGCGAAAGCGUGGGGAGCGAACAGG
rnacentral:rRNA from 1 species